rnacentral:rRNA from 1 species
GACGUAGGGCGCAAGCGUUGUCCGGAUUUAUUGGGCGUAAAGAGCUCGUAGGCGGCCUGUCGCGUCGUCCGUGAAAACCUGGGGCUUAACUCUGGGCGUGCGGUCGAUACGGGCAGGCUGGAGGCAGGUAGGGGAGAUCGGAAUUCCUGGUGUAGCGGUGAAAUGCGCAGAUAUCAGGAGGAACACCGGUGGCGAAGGCGGAUCUCUGGGCCUGUUCUGACGCUGAGGAGCGAAAGCGUGGGGAGCGAACAGGAUUAGAUACCCUGGUAGUCCACGCUGUAAACGUUGGGCGCUAGGUGUGGGGGACUUCAUUGUCUUCCGUGCCGCAGCUAACGCAUUAAGCGCCCCGCCUGGGGAGUACGGCCGCAAGGCUAAA